rnacentral:rRNA from 1 species
GAUGAACGCUGGCGGCGUGCCUAAUACAUGCAAGUCGAGCGAACAGACGAGGAGCUUGCUCCUCUGACGUUAGCGGCGGACGGGUGAGUAACACGUGGAUAACCUACCUAUAAGACUGGGAUAACUUCGGGAAACCGGAGCUAAUACCGGAUAAUAUAUUGAACCGCAUGGUUCAAUAGUGAAAGACGGUUUUGCUGUCACUUAUAGAUGGAUCCGCGCCGCAUUAGCUAGUUGGUAAGGUAACGGCUUACCAAGGCAACGAUGCGUAGCCGACCUGAGAGGGUGAUCGGCCACACUGGAACUGAGACCCGGUCCAGACUCCUACGGGAGGCAGCAGUAGGGAAUCUUCCGCAAUGGGCGAAAGCCUGACGGAGCAACGCCGCGUGAGUGAUGAAGGUCUUCUGAUCGUAAAACUCUGUUAUUAGGGAAGAACAAAUGUGUAAGUAACUAUGCACGUCUUGACGGUACCUAAUCAGAAAGCCACGGCUAACUACGUG